ACAUCAACAUCGUGUCACUUAGGGAAGGAUGUGGGGGGAUACAGAGAUAGGCAGACACCUAGUGAGGUGUGGCCUGUUGCUCAGGCUGGCCCCAACUCAGGUGGGGUGAGCAAAGUCGGGUUAUGAUUGCUCAGAUUCGACUCCCCAAGAACAGUCCUCAGGUGGGAUUCUUGCGGGGGCAGGGAUCGAGUCAAACCUUGGAAAUGACGUCAUUCUGAACUCAUCUGCCUUUAUCCAGAAGACUACCAAAGCAAACCAGAGGACCAGAGAACAGCAGCUGCUCUGGACAAAGAGGGGAGGACACCCACACCCACAUACCAAGUUCUGGUUGACUUCUACAGCAGAAGAAGCAGGAGACACAAGAAGGCAGAAGGAGCCCUUUGACCUCUAGAGACAUUCCAAAAGGCUGAGGUACCACGUCCAAAGAAUGUGACCUCAGUAUAGACUCCUGGAACUCAGAAGGACUCCACAUGGCUAGAGUGUUCCCAGUGGAAUCAGUAGUCUGUCACAGAAAAGGCAAAGAUGACUCAGGAAGCAGACGUCUGAAGAGAUGCCUGGCCUGACUCCAUGGAGGUUUUAGAAAGACAUUCACUCUUUCCAUAGAGUGGAGAGCCUCACUGGUGCUAUGCACAUUAAACAUCAGAUGAACUCGCUCCAUCUCAAGGGUAUUCUGAGUACCCCUCCCCCAACCCUCACCAAGGGUCUUCCCUGCUUUUUGGUACCCUCUCCCAAUCAUAUAGAAUUUAAGGCAGAUUAUAAAUUUAACUACUCUGCUAAGUUGCGAUAAGUAAUAAAUUCAUUUCUUUUUGUGUGUGUUUUAAAGCUUUGUAGAAAACAACAAUGUCAACAACACUAACCCAAACAUUGUAAGGCUGAGACACAAAGACAUUGAGUUUGAAGGUAACCUGGGCUACAUAAUGAAUUGUAUAUUCCAGACCAGCCUGGGCUACAUGGCAAGCCCUGUCUCAAAAAUAAACAAAUAGAUGAAAAUCUA
rnacentral:lncRNA from 1 species